rnacentral:rRNA from 1 species
CCUACGGGCGGCAGCAGUGGGGAAAACUUUACAAUGCGGGAAACCGUGAUAAGGGAACUCCGAGUGCCCGUAAACGCGGGCUGUCCAUCUGCUUAAAAAACAGGUGAAGAAAGGGCCGGGCAAGACCGGUGCCAGCCGCCGCGGUAAUACCGGCGGCUCGAGUGGUGGCCACUAUUACUGGGCUUAAAGCGUCCGUAGCUUGGUUGUUAAGUCUCUUGGGAAAUCUGUCGGCUUAACCGACAGGCGUUUAAGGGAUACUGGCAAUCUAGGGACCGGGAGAGGUGAGAGGUACUCCAGGGGUAGGAGUGAAAUCCUGUAAUCCUUGGGGGACCACCUGUGGCGUAGGCGUCUCACCAGAACGGCUCCGACAGUGAGGGACGAAAGCUUGGGGAGCAAACCGGCUUAGAUACCCGGGUAGUC